GGUAGCUAUAAUUCAAGGGUAGAAUUCCCGUAUGUGGCACGGUCAAUCUGAGUUCGAAUCUCAGUAGUUACC
rnacentral:tRNA from 1 species